rfam:Blautia sp. YL58, complete genome.
UAGAACUAUUACUUUGAGAAAUCAAAUGAGUGGGUAACGCCACAAAGGGUUUCCUCUAAUACUCCGACAUGCGGGAAAAGUUGAUAUUAACAUGAACCGUAUGAAGCUCGGUGAAGUCGGUUGAAAGUGACCGUAAAGCAUUAUCAAAUGCUACGAAAUCUGCUCAGAGGUGGGCGGUGUCACCCAUAGACCGGGAGUCUAUAAA